rnacentral:rRNA from 1 species
GCGGGAAAACUUUACACUGCACGAAAGUGCGAUAAGGGUAUCCUGAGUGCUUACAUUUCGGUGUAAGCUUUUGCCAAGAGCAAAUAUCUUGGCGAAUAAGUGAUGGGCAAGACCGGUGCCAGCCGCCGCGGUAACCCCGGCGUCACAAGUGGGGGCCACAUUUAUUGGGUCUAAAGCAUCCGUAGCUGGCUUUGCAGAUUCUUUGUGAAAUUGUUAAUCUAAACUUAACAGCGCGCAAAGGACACCUGCGAAGCUCGGGACUGGGAGGAGUCAGAGGUAUUCCUGGGGAAGCGGUAAAAUGUUAUAAUCCUAGGAGGACCACCGAUGGCGAAGGCAUCUGACUAGAACAGGUCCGACAGUGAGGGAUGAAAGCUAGGGGAUCAAAACGG